AACGAACGCUGGCGGCAUGCCUAACACAUGCAAGUCGAACGAGACCUUCGGGUCUAGUGGCGCACGGGUGCGUAACGCGUGGGAACCUGCCCUUAGGUUCGGAAUAACUCCCCGAAAGGGGUGCUAAUACCGGAUAAUGUCUUCGGACCAAAGAUUUAUCGCCUUUGGAUGGGCCCGCGUUGGAUUAGCUAGUUGGUAGGGUAAAAGCCUACCAAGGCGACGAUCCAUAGCUGGUCUGAGAGGAUGAUCAGCCACACUGGGACUGAGACACGGCCCAGACUCCUACGGGAGGGCGGCGUGGGGGAUAAUGGAACAUGGGGGAAAGGCUGAUCCCACCAUGGCGGGUUAGUUAAGAAGGGCUUAGGGUUGUAAAGGUUCUUUACCCGGGAUGAUAAUGACAGUACCGGGAGAAUAAGCUCCGGCUAACUCCGUG
rnacentral:rRNA from 1 species